CCUACGGGAGGCAGCAGUGGUGAAUAUUGCACAAUGGGCGCAAGCCUGAUGCAGCCAUGCCGCGUGUAUGAAGAAGGUCUUCGGGUUGUAAAGUACUUUCAGUGGGGAGGAAGGGACUAAAGUUAAUACCUUUGCUCAUUGACGUUACCCGCAGAAGAAGCACCGGCUAACUCCGUGCCAGCAGCUGCGGGAAUACGGAGGGUGCAAGCGUUAAUCGGAAUUAAUGGGCGUAAAGCGCACGCAGGCGGUUUGUUAAGUCACAUGUGAAAUCCCCGGGCUCAACCUGGGAACUGCAUCUGAUACUGGCAGGCUUGAGUCUCGUAGAGGGGGGUAGAAUUCCAGGUGUAGCGGUGAAAUGCGUAGAGAUCUGGAAGAAUACCGAUGGCGAAGGCGGCGCCCUGGACGAAGACUGACGCUCAGGUACGAAAGCGUGGGGAGCAAACAGGAUUAGAUACCCGAGUAGUC
rnacentral:rRNA from 1 species